UACGUAGGGGGCGAGCGUUGUCCGGAAUGACUGGGCGUAAAGGGCGCGUAGGUGGCCGAUUAAGUCCUGUGUGAAAUCUCCGCGCUUACCGUGGAGGGGUCAUGGGAGACUGGUGGGCUAGGGUUCGGCAGAGGUGGGUGGAAUUCCCGGUGGAGCGGUGAAAUGCGUAGAGAUCGGGAGGAACACCAGUGGCGAAGGCGGCCCACUGGGCCGGGACCGACACUGAGGCGCGAAAGCGUGGGGAGCGAACCG
rnacentral:rRNA from 1 species